UUAUGUUGGUGUAGAUACGUUGGGACCUUGGGAAAGCGUGAUUCGUCGGACGAGAGGAGGUCAUGCUUGUAGUAAACGUUGGGGUAUUAUGUUCACAUACCUUGUGACUAGAGCUGUGCAUAUAAAAGUUGUCGAGUUCAUGAGUGCUUCUUCUUUCAUAAAUGCAAUGCGUAGAUUGAUUGCAAUCAGAGAACCAAUGGCCAUGCUGGAGAUUUGAUUUAAAUACAUUCCGUUGUUUAAUACAAUAAUAUAAUUUUGGAUAGUUAAGCCUUUACGGUUUUCAUUUCGUUUUUUUUUCGGUUAGAUUUAUAAUCAUGAAUUAAUCAUCCCUCAUGAAAGACUUUGUUUUUAUCAAGUUUGUUUUCAGUCUUCUAAUGAUACUUUUUUAAUAUAAUAUGUUUACGAAAGGGAUAUACGAUUAGAAUGCAUUCUAAAAGACUGAGUCAAAUAUAUAUUAGUGCAUUAAAGUCUACUUACUUACCCCAUUUUAAUAAAGAUCGUAAGGUUUAAGAUCGUUACUUUCUGACGUAACUCCGUUUUGGGCGUAAACUGCGUUCCAAUCUGGUAGUAACUUUACGGGAGCACCUAAUCUCUCUUAAGAAUCGCAAAUAUGACGGCAGCGUUCGGCGUUAUUUUCAUGUCCAGAGGCAAAAAUAGGAUUGGGAGGACGUUUCCGGCAAGAUUGACCUUGGCCGAUGUCUGGGAAGAUAUUGUCGUCUCCCGGUAACGGCUGGGGAGUUCAUCAGCGCAGACGAAUCGCGAGCACUCGAUUUCGGCUGAGACGAAGGACAAGAGUAAAUAUAACAUGAAAAUAGUUCGAUACAUCAAGGAAAAAUAAAUGAAGACCGUGGACACCCUUGUCGUACACCUCGUUUCAUUGCAAAACUGUUAGAAAGGUGACCAUUAUUUAGAAUGGUUCCUCUAAUAUGAGUAUAAAACAGCUUAAUCCAUUUAAUAAGUUCAUCUCCAAAAUACUGAUUAAAUUAUUUAAACAUUUAAUUAUGAAAUUGUGAUCAAUGCUAUCAAGAGCUUUGUCAAAAUCGACGAAUAUUAGUAACCCUGCCUUAUUAGAAUUAUUCAGAUGUUCAAUGACUUCUUGUAUUAACCUUAUAUGUUCACCAAUAAACCUUCUUUUGAUGAAUCCAGUUUGAUUUGGUGAUAUUAAUGUAGUGAGCAUUUUCUUGAUUCUGUUUGCAUUUGCCUUAGUUGCAGUUUUACAAUCUGUGUGAAGCAGACUUUGAAAAUAUUUCGAGGUCCUAACCUGACUUAGGUAUAAGGGAAACUAUAACUUUUUUGUAAUACAGUAAGGAGAUUGGUUUUGGAAUGAGAAAUUGAUUGAUUUAACGAAAUAUUCUUUUAAGAUAUUCAAAAAUACAUCAAAUAUUCUACUGUUAACCCAUCUGAACCAAGGCAUUCAUUUAGUUUCAUUUCUUUAAGAGAAUAUGCACAUUUGGAUUCUGUUAGUAAACAUUCACCUCUUCGUUGCUUAAUUGUGUUGAAGGAACAUCAAAAAAGUUAAUAUCAUUGUUAGUUUGUACUUGUUUUCUGUAUAAACUUUCAUAAAAAGUUCGUUGCUCGUUUAAGAUAAAUUUUAUAUCUUUAAUGUUUGUCGAAAUGGUUUGGUUCUAUUUAAGUUUAGUAAUUGUUUUUUGUUCAAAGUGGCGUAUUUCAAAACUAGCAAAGUAUUUACUAUUUUUUUCAUUUUUUUACCAUAAUAUCAUUCAGUUAACAUUUUCUGUUAUUUUCAUAUCUAAUUCUUGUUAAAGAACACUUAUUUCUGUCUAAUUGUCAUUAUUACUUAAUUUUGUGUUUUCUUGUAGUUUUUUUAUUCUUCCGAUUAGAUCGUUUUCUUCUUUUACUUUUUCUUUGUUAGCAUUAGUUGAAUAUGUAUGCAAAAAGCUACAGAAACACGCUCAGUAGCAAAAAGUUUAAACAUUAACCCGGUUUAAUGGCACUGGGUAAACGCCAAAGACAUAGAACAUAAAAUCACAAACAAGAAACAUGGAAGAACAGCACAA